GCUGCUGAAGCAGAGCUCAUGAACCCAACCACUCAGCCACAGGGCCGGCCCCCUGAAAGCAUUCUAAUAGAAGCUGUUCUUUAUCAGGGAUUCUUUAAAGUGGUAAUAAUAGGAGAGGGAGGGGGAUGGGGGAAAUUGAACUCUGAGGUCCCAACUCUAAGCUUCUAGAAUUAUACAGGGACGUACCCUAAAGGAGAUGAGGUUUCAAAUGCACCUUGAGGAACAGGAAGGCAAAGGGGAGAGGGGAGAAUAUACCAGCUAGACUGCAACCUGUGCUAGAUUAUGAACUGUGGCCCGGCUCUUCUCCCCUUCAGUACCCAGCUCAGGGCAGGGCUCUCAAGGCUGCUGAGAGCAGCUGACAAGAUUUCAACCCAAGGCAGGAGACUCACAAUGCCGUCAUAAAGUACAUGUGGAGGAGAGCUGAGAGAAAUUUUCUUCUUACAGCGGUAACCAAAGCCAACAAAUUAUAUUGAGAUCAGAAAUAAAUACAUCCUCUAGGAAAAAAAGAUCUUUGUCUCUGGGUGGACCAGCUGUGUGGUCAAAGCUGAAGAUGAUAUCAUGACAUCAUGGGUAACAAGCUGAAGCCAUUUCUCAUGCCCCAAACAAGGCUACACAAAGUGCUACCAGGAGACUUCACCUGACCAUCCUCAAAUUUCUGGAACCUUCUAGCUAUUGGGAAAGGCCUGGAAGAGGACAGUCUCAUGUGGCAGCCCUUAGCCUACUUGAAUGAAAUCUGACAAAUAUUGUAAAAAUACAGUCCAUUUAAAAACUUCAGUGGAUCUUCGUUUUGUUUCAGCAUAAUGGAUUGAAUCAAAUACAAGUUAUUUGCAGUGAACUUUCAUAAUAUAGGUAUUAUAUUAAUUUAGUAAAAAAAUUAGCCAUUUUCUUUACAUUUGUUUUGGGAGGGGAAUAGUAGUAAAGGGUGUUAAUAUUUAUUGAACCCUUAGAUGUGCACAGUAUAUUACACGUUAUCUUAUUUAAUCCUCAGGGUCACCCUGAAAGGAAGGUUAUUAUUAUCAUCAUUUUACAGAUAAGGAAACUGCGGUACAGAAGAGUUUAAGUGGCAUGCCUAACUCCAUGUAACUCAUCAGUGAGGAAGCCAAGAUUCAUAUCUGGGUCUCUUUCAGUAUAAAGCAGGUGCUGCUUCACCUACACUCUGCUACCUUCCAUAUAAGCCUCAACGUGAGCUCUGGCUUUAUUAGGUUGGCAAGCAUAGACUACAGACAUUUCUCUAAGAAGUCAUUUGGUUGCUCCUGGGUUCAGAGAUAUCCUAAAAGUAACUGAAACAAGGGAAGUUUUACUCCAUCAUUACACAUUCCUGGGCAGGAGAUCCUGUUUCUGGCCCUUACUUAGAACAACAAGUUGAAUUUGCAGUCAGACUAGUGAUAUUGUCAAAAUUUUUCAAACACAAAAACCUAUGACUGAUUGUAUACACUUGGGAUCGAAAUUACAUUGCUCUUUCAAAGAGCAGCCUACAAUGGCCUACCAAGAGGCCAAGCCAGUUCUGGGGGCUGUUGGCUAGAGGAUUUGAUUGUUGGUCAGAGGACACCAAAUAAGAGAUGGGAUGGUGUUGUGGGAGGGAGGGCUGGCUCUGGACAUCAGAGCUGUGAGUUCCAACAUAGAAUGGGCCGCUGUGCUGCUGUGCAAAUUUGCAAAAACUACUUAAUCCCCAUGAGCCUGUUUCCUUGUUCGAAAAUGAUGUAAAUUAUGGCAUCUACUUAAAGAAUUGUUGUCUGAGGAUUAUAUAAGUAAAGCACAUAGUAAUAUUGUUAGAUUUUAUCACUGUUGUUAUUAUUACUUGUCACUCAAAGCAUUCAGCUUUGCUGUCCUCAAUUCUCAGCACUUGCAUUAAUGUCCAAUUUCAAGUGCUGGGUAGAAUUGAAGCCUUUGUACCUGCCUCCAGAGAGGGCUAUUUAUUUUUCAUCAGUGCCUGCCAGGAACACACAACAUCACCAUUUGCCUAUCCAAAGGUACCUGAUUCUUCAGUGUUUUAUGUUACUAAAAAAGGGUCUACUUUGAAAACAGUGAGGCCUUUAGGAGAAAUUAGGUCUCGCCCUGAACUCAACUCUUUUAGAAAUUUCAAUUUACUCUGCUCUCCUCUCUGCCCUGCUUAUCUAGGAGAAGAGGCACAUUUUGGCUUUUGACUCAAUAAUGGGACUCAUAUUAAUAGGAAAGAAAGUUCAGAAGCAGAGAGAAAACUCUGGUGGAACAGAAGAAAAGCUAAAUGGAUUUUUCAAAAAUGUCCUGCAAACUCCUUUGAAUUGAUGAAGGCACAGUUGAGAAUGCCUCCCAACAUGUAGGCUUGAGGGACUGUUUUGCUUUAUAAAGCCUCAGAGAAGUUCCUCUGGCAGAAUUACCCCAAGUUGAGUAGAAAUGGAUCAAGGAAUGAACAAAAGGCUUUAACUAAGCAGUGAGGGCAGAUAAAAGCCCAGGUCCUCGAUUUGGAGUUUCUGCAGGGUCAGGCCUCUCCCUGGUUCUAUUGCUGGUUCCACGGUUGAAACCAGAGGAGAUAGCUGGAGAGUUAUGUUGUCCCGGACCAGUCACUUAUGCAAGAGGAUCACGAUUGAGAAGAGGCUCAGUAGCAUUUGAGGAAAACAAGUCAGAAGUGGAUGUCUUAGGUGGGAAAGUACUGAGAAGCAUUAACGCUGAGAGGGACAGUAGGUUAUAAAUUAGAAUGAGGCUCUAAACUAGAAAGUGCUCUUCUCUGGGAUUGACUAGCCUGUAAAACAGUCUGGGGGUGGGUGGUGAGCAGUGAGGCUUUCUGAUAGCUGGAGUUGUCUGAGAAAUAUGGACUGUCCCUCAGGGGACCACAGCCUGCUCAAAAGGUUUGUCAUGAUCCAAAUGCUCCUCAGUUCUUAGAAGGACAGUGGUGCCCAAAGGCUAGACCACCAUUCUGAAUCUUUCCUUGAGGCCACUAACCCAUUAACAAAGAAUUGUUCUGUCAUUGGUCAAGAUAAGGCAGUGGUUCCUAGCUGCUGGUCCUGUCCUAACACUGGUGGAGAGCCAAUAAAAAAAUAAGUCAUCUUACAUUUCCAGGUUGUGCCUUUUCCUUCAGGCUCCACCCUUGUCAUGGGGCAACUGUAGGCAGCAAUUGGCUCCUAAUGUGACAUGCUGGGUUUAGGGAACCAAUUCUCCAUUCCUCCGUGAGUGUUACAGAAUUCAUAGAAACCCAAGGAAGAUGCCUGUCCCCCUGUACAUUUUAUCCAGGGUCAUGAUCUUCAAAUAUAUCCUAUCUGCUCAGUCCUGUCUCCCUUCUUAACAUACACUGGUAAAAGGUUUGGACUCUGGUUCCCUCUAGCCUACCUCCUCACCUCAGCUCUCCCUUUCUACCUCAGACUUCAGAGUCCACUCCUAGCCCCUGUUUCUCAAUUUCCUAUCUAAUCCUGCUACCGAAAAUCCAUAUACAGGUCUUCCUCAUGAAGGUAAAUGACUGACAUCAUUUAAAAGCAUGGCCUUUUCUUGACGAUAUUUGCAGUUGAGCAGAGUGACAGUGUCACUAACAGACCAAUUUUUUUAUUCUUUUCUGUACCUCCUACUUCAUGGUUUCUGUUUACCACUUUGUUUCUACAAACACACCUCCAUCCUCUACUUCCACCAAAACUGAUUGCCAUCUUCUUCACUUAUUAAUUAAUCACCUGAACCAUUUUUUUUUGUCCUUGCUUUUCAUCUCUUCUUUGGUUUCAACAACUGUCUGAUAUCCCAGUGUUGGAACUGUUUCCUUUUCCCCAGUCCCUAAAAUCUUCCCAUAGGUAUCACAAUAUCCAGAUCUUCGCUGUCACUAGACAAACCUAAACACUUGAACCUAGGUUAGGAUUUUCCAGCCACAAUCUAUAUACCUUGCCCUUCUUCCCCACUUCCAUACCCAACUGAACUUUCCUCUGCCUUUAUUGGGCUUCUCAGUAGCUUCCACUCUUCAAAUAAAAUUGAAUCAACUUUGAGUUUGCCUGAAUCCUGCAUUGCCUGAGUUCCAUCACCAUUCAUGUCAAAGAUUCUCAUAUCAAUAUCCAAGACUCUUAUGUACCCUUAUCUUCCUCUGAGUCUGCCAUGCCAUCUUCUUCCUUAAAUAGUACCAUCCUUAUGAAGCUGACAAAACAAGGUCAGUGAACCAAGCAGGUCUGCAUCUCAAGGAAAGCUUGGAUUUGGGGAAGCUAUGGGUCUUUUGAGAAAUUGGGUGGCAUGAUCCCACCUGUCUAGUGUUUUGUCUUUUAAUCUUUCCAAUCCAAGACACCUCUAUCACUUGUGGAGACUCUAAGCAGGGAUUAACUGUGACUGCCACCUGGAAAGGUUGAGAGAUUUAAGUGCCCCAACUCACAAAGAGGCAGCUCAAGUGAAAUAAACAUUGUGACAUUUAAGAAGCAAAAAGAGCAUUUACUUUGGGCUGGAUGUGACAUUGCAUAUCACCAUAAUGGACUGCUCUGUGCCAACUGCAAAGUCCCAGGUGAUAAGUUAUAGCCAGUGACAGAGCAGGCCUUGAGUCCACAGACCUAUUCCUUUGGAGCCUGGUACCUGAGUUUCUUGCACUUUAUAUGUAAUUCCUUCCUCUUGUAUUUCAUGUAAUGUAUUCUUCACAGUGAGGCCAACAGGACAGUGAGUCUGCUAUGGAGGUGUCUUCAGCUCUUUUGGAAACCCCAGUGAGCUUCUAGCUUCAGGGCAUGACUUUCCUUGUGGAUUCUCAUGCCAUAGUCUUCUGGGAAAUUCAGAAUGAUCUCCCUAUUCUAAGAUGGUCAGUAUUCACCUAAAUUCAACUUGAUAUUUAGUCCUCAUUUAUGAAGCAUGUGCUAAAUUUAAAGCACUGUGCUCAGUUAUUUGGAUAUAUAGAGGAAAAAAAGACAUGGAUGCUGUCAUCAAGAAAUAAUUUAACCUAGUGAACUAGAGAUUUAUGUGCACAUACCUAUAAACAGUGAAAAGUGUAUUGAGGAAAGCUUCUUAGAGGAGCUGGCAUUUGAGCUGUGCCUUGAAGAACACAUAUUUCUAGAUGAGCAGAGAUGAGGAGGGAGCAGAGAAAGGAGAGGGAUUGGAGGAGGAGGUAACAGAGUGAGAAAAGAGCAAUGGGUAGGACUAUGAGGGCAAGACUUUGUGGAGUAUAUAUGUUUGAGGUUUGGGGGGAGAGUGAGGUGAGGCAUCAAAGGGGUUGAAUAGGCCUCAAAUUUAAUGUUCACUCAAUACAUACCAAGAGUUGUGCAAAGCACAGGUUAGCCUCUGAGAAAGGAAGAAGGAUACAACAGCUAUCCCUGCAUGGCCAGGAAGUCAAAGCCACGCAAAUCCAGGGGCUGCUUUCAGAGCUAUAAGUGUACCCAGACCUGUCCAUGGCCAUGGGUUUUUCAUUGCUUGGGUUCUCUGUUACCAUCUCUCUUUCUCUUGGCAUUCUGAAUGCUCACCCUCAGUCUUUUCUUCAUUUGUUGAACCCUGAUGAUGUGGACCAUCUGAUCCUUCCUAGUCCCCAAUUCUUGCAUAGGUUGUUGACUCUGAUCAACUUUACUGCAUCUAGUUCUCUGCCAUGUGAGUGGUGACCUAAUCCUUCUUUGCUCUGGCAGCCCUGAGUGAAGUUUGUCUUCAUAUAAAUACAGACAUAUUUUGCCUUGGUAAUUCUUGCUUCUGCUGCAUGUUUUUCCCUCCAGGCACUUACUUUUUUGUCAUGUAGGCACCCAGUUUCAAUGCCUGGGGUGGCUUUCAGUGUUAUGGAUACACCAGGAAAAAAAAACAACACAAGAACUGUCACAAUCAAGAGUUCCGACUUCAAUGAGUAAUGAAGUUGCAUGAAUUCCAACUCGUGGUUCCAAAGGAUUUCCAUAAGCCUCUUGAUUUCCAAAUGAGAAAAUCAUGAUAAGCAGUUAAUUAGCUCUUUAAGCAAAGGCAAGCCGUCUCAGACACUGCUGUGCACUCCACACUCUUGGGAGAGGGAGGCCAGUACCACAUCCUGACAAACAUGCAGUGCAAGCAUGAAAAUGGAGUUCAUAUAAAUUCAAGUAAUGUCCUUUGACUUUUCAUUAAGCCAGGCAUGUCCCAGUUACCCCUUGGGGACUUUCUUAACGUUAUCAUGGCAACAUACAAUUAAGUCAGAUUACAUUUUUUUAUAUGCAGGGAGAGGUGCUAAGAUACCAUUCUAAAUUAUUCAGCAGUUCACUUUUCACAAAACAACCCCAGAUAUAACUUUAAGAUGUGCAAUAUUAAAAAAUACCAGAUAAUUUGAUAUUGCUAUAUCAUGUAAAGAAGACUUUUUUCCUUUCCCCAGGGAGAACAAAAGACUUAAUCGAACUCCACAAGCAUAGCUGUGCUUAUCACAGCUUACCGUAUUACUCUGAUUUAUGUGGCAGAUUGUGAACUCCUUGAGAAUUAACAGAAGUUUCUUCCUUAGGGCCAGAAUAUUCUUAUUUCAGCAUUGUAAAGCCAGGGACAGCUUUGAAAAGGAGCUAAAUCAUUUUUCUCUUUCUCCCCCUGACACCCCACACCUCCUAUGUGUGGUGUAUGUAGAUUUGAUCCUUAGUUAUCAUGUCACGGUUCCUAAGGAGUCUUAAGGAGACUGAUUAUAUAAAGGCACCUUUAGAAGGGCAUCAUCUUGGUGAGCCUUAAAGGCUCCUCUUAGUCUUCAGAACAAGACCCCUGUAUCAAAGGAGGAAGAAUGAAUUGGGGUGCUGAGUUAUACAGCUAGAGGCCAACCCAAGUGGGAUAGGACUUAGUGUGGGGAAACACUCUUUUAUGGGUCACUGGUGCUCCUAUGCAUCUUGCUAAAUAUGCCAAGAUUGGAAGGUCCUGACCACUCUUUAUCUGGACAAUUUUUCAAGGUUUGUUUGUAGCAAAUAACUUGAGGGAUGAGGUAACAUCUCCUCCAAGAUAGAGAGCAGGUCUCUUUACACACUGCUAUAGAGCGAUGGCUUCCUUAGGUUCAGUAUUCCUUACUUGUAAUGCAACCUCCUUCCUGCGCAUCCAUCUAGGUUCACCUGCACUGCCCCUCAGGGAACUGGGGCCAGUGACCCUGCUGAGGCUUGGCUAAUGCUUUUGAGUAACAAAGGCUUUUAUCUCUGACUCAAGAAAGCAUCCAUGAAAUUCUGGCAAGUUAACUUGUUAGCUUGCAAGUAGGGUAACAUAGCAGACCCUUUAUAGACCUUGAUGGUUAAUAUGUAAUGCUUGUGGUUGCUUUCUCCUUUCCCUGUCUGAUCUGAAGAUAUAGUUCUUCUUGUUUGAGAUACCCUUUUCUACUGCACAGAGUCCUCAUAUUUAAGCCAAAAUCUGAGUAGAAGCCUUCUUUCUUAAGAUCUCAAGAAGCGUAGACUGUCAUGACUUCUAAGAGGUAAGAUACCAUGCAUAAAUCCCUAUUGUGCCAAGCCUCUCUAUAACUGAUGUACUUGAUAAGUCUUGACUUAUUAACCCUUUGUGGGCAAGAUAGGCAGAAUCUUUGAUGUGUGGUAAGUGGUUGCUGCCUGGGUCUUACAUGUUUAAUUUUAUGUCAUCAUACGUCAGGGAGAAGUUAAGGUUUAUUACUUAAAUGCCCAUUUCUAGUCCAUGUCCCAAAAUUCAGAUUCAGGGUACACUGGAAGCUGUGUCUUUGGAAGUUGCUUUGAUGGUGGGGCCCCAGACACUAAUUUGUAGGUCAUUGCUGUUGUUUCACAGGUGCCUGUGGAGGCACAAAGGGGUAAGCUGAUGGGCAAUUGCAGCUCUCCCUUCUAGUUCUGAGACUUCUCUCCUGUCUAGCAGGCAACAGUCAUGUUGUGUUUGUUUGGAGAAAAAACAUGGUUCCUUUCCACCUGGGCAUACCCUUCUCAAGCUGAAAUGGCUGCUCUUAUUGCUGUGUCCUACUUCUGAGGGGCCAGCCUGGCCAAGGAGUAAAUGACAAAGAAAACCACCAGCAUCUCAACGACCACCACUCAAGCAACAGUUCUUCUUAUGGUAAUUGUCUUCUAUGUUCUGGGUUCCUUAAAUCUAUGAUCUUUGAAAUUCAUAGCAACCACAAGAAGGGAUAUUAUACUACUCACUUUACACCCAAGGAAACAGGAACUAACUCAACAUGAUCACAUAGCUUCUGAGCACCAAGCUAGGAUUAUAACCCAGAGCCAUCUGAGUUCAAAACCUUUCCAUCUUUUGCUGGUGCCUCUCUAAUCCUACUUUCUUUGUAAAGGCUCAGCAAGAUGAGAUGUGGUCUGUGAAAUUCAUAAAGACCAUCAUACCAUAGUUCAAACACCUCUGAAGAAUCCCUAUCACUUACAGAAUGAAGUCCAAUUGUUCUGCCUUUCAGUCACUUCCUCUUCCCAGUUACAUUCCCUGCUAUUCACCCCCAAACAGACCUUAAACCUUAGCCAAAUGUAAAUAUUCAUAAUUCCCUGUAGUGUCAUCAAUUUUUCUCACUCUAUGCUUUUGAUCAGGCAGCCCUAGCUUCAAACAGCCCACUGUUUUCUCUAACAACUACCUAAAAUCCUCCCCAUCUUUAAAGAUCUGAAAUCAGAUAUCACCUCCAUGAAGCCAUUCCUGAUUCCCAAAACUUAAUGUGAACUUUCCCUCUUUUUGACAUGGCAAUUCUAUUUCGAUCCUUUAAAGCCCUGAUUGCACAUUGCCGUAGUACACCCAUCUGCUUAUAGAAGAGCAAGUUGUCCCAGAAGCCCAGAUCUUUCUUGUGCUUUGGAUCCAUAUAUCCUGCUGCCUACUAAAUAUUUCCCCUUGGGAAUUCCAUAGGUGUCUCAACCUCAGUGCAGCUGGAACUGAACUCCUAAUGUCGUUCACAAACUUGUGCCUCCCCCUAUCUCCGUAAAUGACCCUCCUUCACCCAUUUGCUCAAGCCAGAAAUAUGGGUAUCAUCACUGACCCUUUUUUCUCUAUCAUUUGUCGCAUCCAGUCAAUCAUUUAAUCCUAUUGCAUCUAUUGCCUAAAUAUGUCUCAAAUCUAAUAUAUUAUGUCCAUUUCCACUGUAAUUUCCCAAGUCCAGGUGACCAUCAUUUGCCAACCAGAUUACCAUAGCAGCUGUCCUUCUAAUUAACCUCCAAACUUUCAGGUUUCCUUCAUCCAAACUGACUCUCACUGCUUGAGUCUGAGGGAGGCUUUAAAAAUGCAAAUCUGACAUGUUACUCUCCUGCUCAGAAGACUCUCCUGCUCAGAAAUUGCCCUUAGGAUAAAAUCUAAACAAAUGGUUUAUGUGCCUUUUCUUUGGGUGCCUCUUUUAUACCUCUCUAGCCAUAUCUUUCACAGUUUCUCCCUCUUGCCCUUUAUGCUUUGGCCGUUCUACACCCAAUUCGGUUCCUCAGAUAAGCACUGUUCCUUCCCACAUAUUGUUUUCUUUACCUCUAAGGAUGUGCUCCUUCUGCCCCUUCCCCAGUGCAUACGUUUUUGCCUGGCUCCUCCUCUGCUCUAUCCCAGGUUAGAUAUAACUUCUGAGAAGCUUUCUCUGACCUUAUAAAGACUGAAUUUGGUGUUCUCCAAUGUCCUCUAUAACUCUCUCUACUCCCUAAUCACAGCAAAGUGUUAGAAUUGCUGCUUUCAUGGCCUAUCUCCCUCACUAUACUGAUUAGAACAUAUCCAUUAAAACUUGGAUAUCCAUGGAAUUCUUUCCUGCAAAAUAUUUGGGGCUCCAUAGAAUUAUGAACCUCUAUGGAGCCUGGCGCAUAGGAGGUGUACUAAAUACUUGUCUUUUGUUUAUUUGAGAAGAAAACAGGUAUUUCCAAUGUUAAGUGUUUGCAACUAAUCACAUAGAUUAUUAGAGAUAUUCUUGAGUCUUUUGAUUUCCAUGUUUUCUUUUUUUUUUGGUUGUUAAAUUAAUACUGUCUUGGUGGCAAGCAAGGGUUAAUAGCUAUUUAAGGACCCAGGGAAAGUACGAAAGAACAUGUCUCUGUUCACAAUGACAUUAAUUUAUAAGGAAGGGUUGGAGGAGCAAGCCAAUCAAAUACUGGAUGCCAAAUUACCAUAUAUCACACAAUUUACGAGGCAGUCAAAAGUGUUAUUAAAUUAGAGACCAGAACAACCUUCUUAAUUCAUCCUUAUGACAGUGAUUGUAAUGACUCUAAGAACCUGGUUUAACCUGAGUUCAUUUUAUGAAAGGUCUUUCAUUUUUAAACAUUACAUUUAUUGAAUUUUAAAGAAAGCUUGCCUUAAAAUGCAUACAGUUAAAACAUAAUAAAAAUGCCUCAAUAAUCAAUCUACAUUCACUACCUGAGGGAUACAGUGGAUUCCGUUUUUCAAAAAUCUGGUGUUGAUGUAUUUUUUUCUUUUUCUCUGUAAAACAGAAUCAUUAAUCUUCAGAUUUCACCAAAGUAGUCCUGCUAUUUUUUUUUUUUUUUCCUGUUUUAUGCUCUUAUGCCCCGGCAUCUUUCAGUAGAUUCUAGUUUUUCUAUUCUGAUAACUCUGGCCAAUAGUGGGCCCCUCCUUAAUCCUUCUGCUUUGCAGGUGAAGCCAAUGCUAUACAAUCCAAGAAGAGCCUUGGUCAGGGAUGAGGGCUUACUAUUAUCAGUGUUUUGGGUCUCACUGAUCCCAGGCCUUAUGGACUCAUGUGAAAAUCACAAGUACAGCAUCACUUUUACCUCCAUUGUUGGCUCCUAAGGGUCUGGGACACUGUUGGAUGAAGUAAACUUGCGUGGCUCCCUACUCCAACCUCCAGCCCCCAGCUCUAAGCACGAAGUGGUUGCUCAAUAACUCUUAUGGCAUGAGUAAGGAAAUACUUUUAUUUUUUUAUUUCUUGACUUUUAUGAUCCACUAGUUUAUGCUCUCAAUUCAAGAUGGACACAGAUAAGAACAACCUAUGGCACAUUCUUUUCAUUGGGGCUGUCCUGCCCAGGGCGUUGUCAUAUUUGGGUAGAGUCAGUAGGGCAGGAUGCAGCUCUGCCAAAGCUCAUUAAAUGGCAGUGAGAACAGCAUCUUGGUGUGCUGUGUGCCCUGGCCUUAGUUCUCAGAGCAGUUGGCUCUCUUAGUGGCAUCCAGUCAACCAAUGGUGGCAGAGUUUCUUCCACUGUGAUGGGGUAGCUUUUUGUCUUCUGCAAAAGCUGGACACCCUGGAGAACAAAGUAGCUUCCAGGAUCUCGGAUGAGCCUCUCUCCUAAAAGGGCACAUUUCUAAUGGCCCUCAAGUUGGGCCAUGGGUCCUGAGGGGACCUGGUACCAACUAGGUUAGAUUGUGGCCAUGUGAUUGAUAAGCGUUAAAUAAACAUGGAGAAACCAAGCAUAUGCCCAGUGCAUAAGAAACACCUAAUAAUUGUCACUACCCUUUCCUACUGUUCUUUCACCCACUUCUGGAUCCAUGCCACUUUGUUCCCUUGGAGAUGUCACUUGGCUUUUGGUUGGGGGGAUGGGGAAAGCAGGGAACCAAGAAAGAGUCCAAAAUUGUGAUGUGUGAGCUGACCCUUGAAGACUGAAUAAGAAUUAUUCAUACAAACAAGAUUAUAAAGAUGUUUUAGGUAGAAGCAGCUACUUAAACCAAGACAAAGAGAUGAGAAAUAACAAGAAGCGGGGGGUAUGGAGAAUUCCAUGGUAGUCAGUGUGAGGCAGGACUGGCUAGAAUUGAGGGAAGAGAGUUAGGUCUAAAUUAUUGAGGACCUGGAAGGUGGUGCCAAAAUCAUGGACUUUGUUAUUAAGUCAAUGAGGAGACACUGGAGGGUUUAAGUGGUUGUGGGUAAUAUGGUCAGACCUUCACUUUUGAAAUUUCACUCGCUCUGGCCACGAUAUGGAGGAUGAAUUUGAAAGCGGGAUUCUGAGGAGUUAGUUUAGGAAGCUGAUGAAGAAAGGUUGUUAAGAGACUCUGAGGCCUGAACUAGAGCAAUGGGAUGGAGAGGAAGAGAUGCUGCUUCCGCUCUGCCACAAGCUCUUGUGCUCUGUAAUUUGGCAUUUCUACUGAGGUGUUUGUGAUUUCAUUCCAGGAUAGAUUGACCUCUCUCUUUCUCAACAGUGAUCAAAGCUUUUUGAUAAAAAGUAAACGUUAAUGGUAGAAUUUCAGGAAUCAAUAGUGAUUACAGCAGCAGUUUCAGGAGAGGACAGGCCUUUUAGGGUCCCCAACAUCAUACUGUGUUGUUGGUUGCCCUGGUUAUUAAGACCUUUCAUGGCUCUGAUCCAGGGUGACUUUCAGGGCUGAUCUGUAGGUGCUCUGUCUCUCUGCUUCACCCCGUCCAGCAUGUCUCACUUCUCCAGCUAGACUUACAGCACAUAGAGAGGCACCAGAGAGCCACUAGAAUUUAGUCUACUAUCUUCCUUAUGAGGAAUAGAUGCACACUGUUGUUCUCUGCUUUCACUAGGAGGAGUAAGGACACUUAUAAAAUUUGCUUGUUGUGUAGCCCCAUGUUUAGAGUCAUGUUAGAUUCUUCCUAAAAUUUUAGAAUCUAUGCCCAGCGAUUUCUUCUUAUACCCCAAUGUGAAAAUCUCUCCACAAAUAUCCCUGCUAAUAUCUAGCAUAUGCUUGAAUAUGUCCAUCGACAAGGAACUCGUUAUCUUUCAUGGAAGAACUUUCUAUAUUAGAAUAAUGUCUCUACCUAUAUUGUUAAAAAAAUCUCUCUCUUUGUACCUUCCAUACAUUGGAUUUUAUUCUAUUUUCUGAACCUCCUAGAACAUGACAGAACUGAAGAUAAUCACUGUCAAUCUUCAUGUCUUGCAGAGACUUCUCUUCUUGAAGGUGAGCAUCCUCCAUACCUGAGAUUAUUUCCAAAAUUAUGUGGUUUCUCAUCUCUAUACAAUUUUCGUCUUCCUUUGAUAUACUUCUUUUUAGUGUGGGCCCACAGCUGACUCUAGCUAGGGAAGUUAGCAUUCUUCUACAUAAUUGGGUAAACCUAGUGGGGAUUAUCUGACAGUGAUCUGAGAGCAAAACUCUGAGGGAAAGAAGCACAGGAUAGGAAUAGGGGCAGAGGCAGACAGGGAGGAGGAGUCAGCAUUCAGGACUGUCUCUUCCACUGCAGGUGGGCUUCUGCAAUGUAGCAAUCGGGGGAGAGAGCAGGCUUGUAGUUAAUUGCAGGCUGCCAUAAUCCCAGCUUUGUAACUUGUUUGAUAAGAGGCACCCAAAUAUAAAACCUAAAGGAAAGCUUCCGAGGGGUGUGACUUGGGUUAUGACAUCAUCCCUGAGCCAAUCAUUGUGACUCAAGGGAUGGGGGCAUCACAGUAGAUGACACCUGUGUUGUCUGACUUUCCUGUAGAUGAGGAGAGGGAGGCAUGGGAAGCAUUGUGGUUUGGAGCUCUGACAGAGUGAUCUGGAGUAGGGAAGAGGCAGUCCUCAAAAGGAAGGUAGCGUUGUUUCCAGGAGAAGGGGGAAAUUAUGCUGAGUAGUUAAAAAUCAAGUGAUGUCCCCUACAGAAAUUGUUUGAGGAAGAAACAGAAGUGGAGAGAGUGAGUGAAGGGAGUGCAAAAUAAACUUAUCCUUAAGCAUCACAAUUUAGCAAAGUCGUUGGAAGAGCCUAGUUUCCAAAUGCCAAAGGUCUGUCCUUUCUAAACUUUUACUCUCUACUUGAAGAAUGGCAUCCAUGUGGCACUGGGGUAUGUUUCCUGAACAGCUUGUGUAAAAGCAGGUCACUGGGAGUCCAAGGCUCUGUCCAGGAUUAGAUAACAGGACAUUCUGGCUCUGUCCACCGGCGCCCAGAUGGUGCCCCCUCUCCCUCCUGUUAUGGAACUGCAGAGUAGGGAUCACAUUGACAAGCUACUGAGACGAUUCCCAACACUGUCUUCUAGACAGAAGCUGGAGGAGAUGCUGAAGAUCUGGUCCUGGCUCUGGGACCCUGGAUUUUCAUCCACCUUGAAAAAUUCUCCUUGAUUUCAGUUCACCUUAACAUACCUAGAGUUUGACCUUAUAACUGAAUGACCACUUCAAGGCAGUAAGCAAAUAUCUAUCUAAUGUAAUGUUUUGAAAAGUUGUUUCAGCCUCUUUAAGCUUAACGCCUGCCUGUACUUUAUCGUAAUGAUUUUCUCAAUACCUCAUCUCCCCAGAGCAUUCGAGCAUUGUAAGUACCUUCUGUUUGCUGCUUAAGCUAUUUAUUAAUCACAUUCUUUCCUAUUCAGCCCUAACCAGGAGGAAUGACAAUUUCAGACAUUUCUCAGUUACCUACUGUAAAUUGGCCCAAUUACUAUAUGAUCUUAUAGACUAUUCCUUGGGGUGUUUCACCCACUUCAGUGCUGUAAUUGGUUUGCUAAGAAGGAGAAGGGAAAAAAAAAAAACCUGCAUCUUAAUGCUGUGCUAUGGGUUUUGUUGGAGCCGAAGUUUUCUCUUAAAUGGUUAAAGGAGUUUUAGGUGUAUAUCAUUAUUGCAGGAAUCACGUUUAAUGAACACAUAAAUGCUCACCACAAUUUUAGUGAGAAUAUCCCAUUUUCGACAUUUAUAAACCUAAAAAUUGAGGCUCUUUGUCUUCCCACGCUGGGUAAGCUGUGGGAUUGAAAAUCUAAAUUGGAUGCAGUAACCAUUCACUAAAGAUUGGAAAAUAUUCCCCUCACAAUCAGGGCACAUGGGCAUCAUUUAUUUUGUCUUUCUAGAAAUUCCUCUAAGGCUGCUAGAUGCCCAAUAUCCCUGCCUCUCCAACAAAAGGAGAAACCAUUUUUAAGCUUCAUCACUUGGAGCAUUGAGGGAACAUAGUGCCCUUACAAGAUGCUGGAGGCUGAGCUUCAGGGACAUGUGGAUGGAGGGCAGGAAGAAGAGUGUGGGUGGAAGCUUCAUCAAGCAGAUGAGUCCUUGGAUUGUGUCCUGGGGUGGUCCUGACCACUGACUGUUCCAGGAACGAGGACACUGUGUCCCGUGGCUUUGGGACCUGGAUUUUAUAUCGUUGGGCCAUUUUUGGAAAAGAAAAUUAGAAGUUGGAGAUGGUACUAUGUGAGAGAGUUAAGGUAGCUUUCCACUUGUCUCAUUAAUACUUCCAGCUUCCUUCCAAACUCAGUUCAGGUUUCAUGCUGUCCAGAAAGUCAUUUCUGAACUCUAGGCUGAAUUAGUGACCCUGAUCUAAGCUUUCAGCACCGUAUGCCUCCUGGCACCUAUGACAUUGCAUAUAAAUGAUCUGCUUACGUCUGAUCUCCUUUCCAAGGCAGGGACUCUGUCUUAUUAUCCUGUGAGUCCCUGGCACAUGGCGCAGGACCUGGAAAGUGGGUACUUACUGCAUGCUUGUGGAAUCUGAUGUGGGUUCAGGGCUUGGUAUCCAGGGGAGCACUCUCAGCAGAACCGCAGUGAGGUUUUCAUAGUCAUAGACUACAUGGGCUAGAGUGCAACUAAUUUCUUUUCAGGUGAUAUUUUCUUUCUGGGUCUUUGGUAUGAAGUGCAACAAAGAAGAAGGAGUGCUGUUUUGGAACAUGGGCCCAGCCUGCUGCACUAGGCUUGGGUGGGCAGCCAUAGCAUAAGCAGGAGUGUGUGAUGGGCUUGUGGCAGCAGAAAGGUCUCCUGGAUGGGGCAAAGGGAAGGCAGACUGGUAGCCGGGAGCUCAGACAAAGCCCUGCUCAUCAACAAUCGAAGAGCUGCUGCUCCUAGGUUUGGCUUGGGGACAUUGAGAGCCUCAUUGUAAUCUGCAGGAGCUUUGCUGCCUCCCCAGGUUAUUUGGGGGCAUCCCUUUAUUCUUAAUGUUGGAAUAGGUCCCAUGGAGAGACAGCUCAUAGUCAUUUCCUCCUUUAUUAGAUCAUGUGGUCUUUUGGGCAUUGCUAUAAAUGUGGAGGGAUGGGUAACUAGUUGACCUUCUAAGGCUCCAAUGCCAGGGUUAGAAUGCCAAGUCUUUUCCUUAAAGUUGCCACUGUAAUUGGCCUCAUCUAUUAAAUGUACUGUAUCAUCCUUCACUACCAUACAUUUAAUUAUGCAUUGUGGAAGAGUUUAGAUAACUUUUGCUUCUAAAAGCCUACUCCAAGUCUUCCAGCAUUACUAAUAGAAAUCCCAAGGAAUAAAGCCUAUAUUAAAAUAGGAAAUAAAAAAUGCAUAAACCUCACCAAGCCAAUGUGAUAGAAAUCGUGCCAAAAACAUAAAAAAGCAUAUGCAUAAUAUUUUAUUAAACUUAAGAAACACACAUAAAUUCCUCUGUGGGAUCCAAGUAUAUUAGUAAUAGACAUACCAUAAAACUCAGUUACUCAACAGUCAUAAAAGACAGCACAGACCAAGAAAAUGCUGCCAUUUUAAAGGAAACAUUUCAAAACGAAUGAAGAAAGACAUUUACUAUAUAAUUGCAACUGGGAAAAUGACAAUGAUGUAGUCAGUGGCCAUGAGUCAUUUCUGGGCAUUCCAGAUCUACUGGCAGCCAGAAGGUGCUGUGUUACUCAGGGUUUUCCAGAGAAACAGAGCCAAUGAGAUAGGUAUAUCUAUAUAUC